rnacentral:rRNA from 1 species
UGAGGAAUAUUGCACAAUGGGGGCAACCCUGAUGCAGCGACGCCGCGUGGGUGAUGAAGGUUUUCGGAUCGUAAAGCCCUUUUCUGCAUGACGAGCACAGGACGGUAGUGCAGGAAUAAGUGUCGGCUAACUACGUGCCAGCAGCCGCGGUAAAACGUAGGACACAAGCGUUAUCCGGAAUUACUGGGCGUAAAGGGCGUGCAGGCGGUUGCGUAAGUUAGGCGUGAAAGACUUCGGCUAAACCGGGGGAGGUCGUUUGAUACUGCGCAACUAGAGUAUGGUAGAGGCGUGUAGAAUUCCGGGUGUAGCGGUGAAAUGCGUAGAUAUCGGGAGGAACACCUGUGGCGAAGGCGGCCACCUGGUUGGAUACUGACGCUGAGACGCGAAAGCGUGGGGAGCAAACAGGAUUAGAUACCCCUGUAGUCCCUGAGCGGGCUGGCAAGGCGCAU